GGGAUUAGAUACCCCACUAUGCUUAGCCUUAAACCAGAUGUUAAAUUUACAAGCAGCAUCCGCCAGGGUACUACAAGCGCUAGCUUAAAACCCAAAGGACUUGACGGUGUCUCAGACCCACCUAGAGGAGCCUGUUCUAGAACCGAUAAUCCCCGUUUAACCUCACCACCCCUUGUCCAACCCGCCUAUAUACCGCCGUCGCAAGCUUACCCUGUGAAGGUCCCAUAGUAAGCAAAAUGGGUAAAUCCCAAAACGUCAGGUCGAGGUGUAGCUUACGAGGUGGGAAGAAAUGGGCUACAUUUUCUAUACCAGAAUAAUACGAACAGCACCAUGAAAUUUAGUGCUCGAAGGUGGAUUUAGUAGUAAAAAACAAAUAGAGAGUCUUUUUGAACCAGGCUCUGAGACGCGCACACACCGCCC
rnacentral:rRNA from 1 species